AAUAUUGGACAAUGGGCGAAAGCCUGAUCCAGCCAUGCCGCGUGUGUGAAGAAGGUCUUCGGAUUGUAAAGCACUUUACGUUGGGCGGAAGGGCAGUAAGUUAAUACCUUGCUGUUUUGACGUUACUGAUAGAAUAAGCACCGGCUAACUUCUUGCAGUCAGCCGCGGUAAUACAGAGGGGGCAAGCGUUAACCGGAAUUACUGGGCGUAAAGCGAGCGCAGGUGGCUUGAUAAGUCAGAUGUGAAAGCCCCGGGCUUAACCUGGGAACUGCUUUCAUAACUGCUGGGCUAGAGUACGGUAGAGGGUAGUGGAAUUUCCUGUGUAGCGGUGAAAUGCGUAGAUAUAGGAAGGAACACCAGUGGCGAAGGCGACUACCUGGACUGAUACUGACACUGAGGUGCGAAAGCGUGGGGAGCAAAC
rnacentral:rRNA from 1 species